rfam:Guillardia theta CCMP2712 unplaced genomic scaffold GTITHscaffold_9, whole genome shotgun sequence.
AGCGAAGUGGCGCAGUGGGAGCGUGCGAGGCUCAUAACCUCGAGGUCGUUGGAUCGAAACCAACCUUCGCUA